rnacentral:rRNA from 1 species
AUUGAACGCUGGCGGCAGGCCUAACACAUGCAAGUCGAGCGGAUGAAGAGAGCUUGCUCUCUGAUUUAGCGGCGGACGGGUGAGUAAUGCCUAGGAAUCUGCCUGGUAGUGGGGGAUAACGUUCCGAAAGGAACGCUAAUACCGCAUACGUCCUACGGGAGAACGCAGGGGACCUUCGGGCCUUGCGCUAUCAGAUGAGCCUAGGUCGGAGUAGCUAGUUGGUGAGGUAAUGGCUCAACAAGGCUACGAUCCGUAACUGGUCUGAGAGGAUGAUCAGUCACACUGGAACUGAGACACGGUCCAGACUCCUACGGGAGGCAGCAGUGGGGAAUAUUGGACAAUGGGCGAAAGCCUGAUCCAGCCAUGCCGCGUGUGUGAAGAAGGUCUUCGGAUUGUAAAGCACUUUAAGUUGGGAGGAAGGGCAGUAAGUUAAUACCUUGCUGUUUUGACGUUACCGACAGAAUAAGCACCGGCUAACUUCGUGCCAGCAGCCGCCGUAAGAC